AUUGAACGCUGGCGGCAUGCCUUACACAUGCAAGUCGAACGGCAGCACGGGUGCUUGCACCUGGUGGCGAGUGGCGAACGGGUGAGUAAUACAUCGGAACGUACCUUAUCGUGGGGGAUAACGCAGCGAAAGCUGUGCUAAUACCGCAUACGCCCUGAGGGGGAAAGCGGGGGAUCGCAAGACCUCGCGCGAUUAGAGCGGCCGAUGCCUGAUUAGCUUGUUGGUGGGGUAAAAGCCCACCAAGGCGACGAUCAGUAGCUGGUCUGAGAGGACGAUCAGCCACACUGGGACUGAGACACGGCCAGGACUCCUACGGGAGGCAGCAGUGGGGAAGUUUGGACAAUGGGGGCAACCCUGAUCCAGCAAUGCCGCGUGAGUGAAGAAGGCCUUCGGGUUGUAAAGCUCUUUUGUCAGGGAAGAAACACCGGCUCUAACACAGUCUGGGAAUGACGGUACCUGAAGAAUAAGCACCGGCUAACUACGUGCCAGCCGCCGCCGUAA
rnacentral:rRNA from 1 species